rnacentral:tRNA from 1 species
UGGGCAUCUGGCGUGUGGCGCUCGGCGCGGCGGCGCUGUGCGUGCCGCAACUCGCCGUGGUCACGUUCGGGACCGUGUUUCUCCAC